rnacentral:rRNA from 1 species
UGGGGAAUAUUGGACAAUGGGGGCAACCCUGAUCCAGCCAUGCCGCGUGAGUGAUGACGGCCCUAGGGUUGUAAAGCUCUUUCAACGGUGAAGAUAAUGACGGUAACCGUAGAAGAAGCCCCGGCUAACUUCGUGCCAGCAGCCGCGGUAAUACGAAGGGGGCUAGCGUUGUUCGGAUUUACUGGGCGUAAAGCGCGCGUAGGCGGAUUGGUCAGUUAGGGGUGAAAUCCCAGGGCUCAACCCUGGAACUGCCCUUAAUACUGCCGGUCUUGAGUAUGGAAGAGGUGAGUGGAAUUCCGAGUGUAGAGGUGAAAUUCGUAGAUAUUCGGAGGAACACCAGUGGCGAAGGCGGCUCACUGGUCCAUUACUGACGCUGAGGUGCGAAAGCGUGGGGAGCAAACAGG